AGUGAACGCUGGCGGCGUGCUUAACACAUGCAAGUCGAACGAGAACGGGUUAUAGCUUGCUAUAAUUGUCAGCUAAGUGGCGCACGGGUGAGUAAUGUAUAGGUAAUAUGCCUCUUACUAAGGGAUAACAAAUGGAAACGUUUGCUAAUACCUUAUACUCCUUUUAAACAGAAGUUUAAAAGGGAAAGAUUUAUUGGUAAGAGAUUAGCCUGUAUUGUAUCAGUUAGUUGGUGGGGUAAUGGCUUACCAAGACUAUGACACAUAACUGGUUUGAGAGGAUGAUCAGUCACACUGGAACUGAGACACGGUCCAGACUCCUACGGGAGGCAGCAGUGGGGAAUAUUGCACAAUGGACGGAAGUCUGAUGCAGCAACGCCGCGUGGAGGAUGACACAUUUCGGUGCGUAAACUCCUUUUAUAUGAGAAGAUAAUGACGGUAUUAUAUGAAUAAGCACCGGCUAACUCCGUGCCAGCAGCCGCAGUAA
rnacentral:rRNA from 1 species